AUUCUACAACUAAGUAUAUCAAAGUGUAAGAGUAAUGACGAUUGCCGCAUUAGGAACACAGCUUCUGAUUCUUGCAACUGUGCAACCAAGUGCUCACUGAAAUAUAAGAAGCAGCACUUUCACUCUUUAAUAACCUGAUGUCGUUCCUCUGGCUUCUUUUCUUUGAAGACUGGAUAGUGGUGCAAACUUGAAAUGUGAAUGCAGCUUUUUUUCUCGCUUUGGUAAUUUUGCACAAAAGGUGUUGGUUUCUGAUUUCAUUGUGAGACGU